UACGUAGGGUGCAAGCGUUGUCCGGAAUUAUUGGGCGUAAAGAGCUCGUAGGCGGUUUGUUGCGUCGGCUGUGAAAUCCCGAGGCUCAACCUCGGGUCUGCAGUCGAUACGAGCAAACUAGAGUGUUGCAGGGGAGACUGGAAUUCCUGGUGUAUCGGUGAAAUGCGCAGAUAUCAGGAGGAACACCAGUGGCGAAGGCGGUGCUCUGGGCCGGAACUGACGCUGAGGAGCGAAAGCGUGGGGAGCAAACAGG
rnacentral:rRNA from 1 species